rnacentral:rRNA from 1 species
UACGGAGGGGGCUAGCGUUGUUCGGAAUUACUGGGCGUAAAGCGCACGUAGGCGGCUUUGUAAGUUAGAGGUGAAAGCCCGGGGCUCAACUCCGGAAUUGCCUUAAGACUGCAUCGCUAGAAUUGUGGAGAGGUAAGUGGAAUUCCGAGUGUAGAGGUGAAAUUCGUAGAUAUUCGGAAGAACACCAGUGGCGAAGGCGACUUACUGGACACAUAUUGACGCUGAGGUGGCGAA